rnacentral:rRNA from 1 species
GAUGAACGCUAGCUACAGGCUUAACACAUGCAAGUCGAGGGGUCUUUUGGAGCUUGCUUUAAAAGACGACCGGCGCACGGGUGAGUAACGCGUAUCCAACCUGCCCUUCAUAUUGGGAUAGCCUCUCGAAAGGGAGAUUAAUACCGAAUAACAUAGUUUAGUUGCCUGACCAGACUAUGAAAGCUCCGGCGAUGAAGGAUGGGGAUGCGUUCCAUUAGGUAGUAGGCGGGGUAACGGCCCACCUAGCCAACGAUGGAUAGGGGUUCUGAGAGGAAGGUCCCCCACACUGGAACUGAGACACGGUCCAGACUCCUACGGGAGGCAGCAGUGAGGAAUAUUGGUCAAUGGGCGCAAGCCUGAACCAGCCAAGUAGCGUGAAGGAUGACUGCCCUAUGGGUUGUAAACUUCUUUUAUACGCGAACAACCGCAGGUACGUGUACCUGUCUGCGUGUAGCGUAUGAAUAAGCAUCGGCUAACUCCGUG